rnacentral:misc_RNA from 13 species
ACUCUAGUCUGGUACUGUAAGGAGACAUGAGAGGUGUAGCAUAAGUGGGAGGUGGCAGCGCCGCCGACAAUGAAAUACCACUACUUUCAUCGUUUCCUUACUUACUCGAUGAGGCGGAAGGCGUCCGACGGGCGUAAAACCCCGGCGAGACGGUAUAUUUCGCCCCAAGCGCAAAGGGUCGUUGGAAACCAGGUCCAAGAGAGU